GCUGAAUUAGGAGAUGAAGGGGCUGGUUGGAUUUCUAGGAGAGUAAUGACCAGGAAGGUUGUGCCGGUUUCCUUUGGAAGGUGAUCCAUGAGUUACCACACUAAGUGACACUAAUACUAGUGAUUCCACAAGCAUGAUCAGAUGUCAGUGUCAGGACUAUCAUACCCUUCACUCACAAGUCAUGGCUGGACUUCCGGAGGGCACAAAACUGAGGCAGAAGUGAGUCAGAAUGAAGGGGAAAGGCUUUCCCUGCCUCUCAGGGUGGGAGUGAGAAAAGCUGCAUGUGGAUGAAUACUUGGAGGCACCGACAAAAGGAUU
rnacentral:lncRNA from 11 species